rnacentral:tRNA from 1 species
GUCGCGGUGGCCGAAUGGUUAGGCAGCGCCUCUUGCAAGUUCGCUUAUGCCGGUUCGAAUCCGGCCCGCGACUCCA